rnacentral:ribozyme from 1 species
AUAGUUUCCAUGUACGAGAGCUGCUUUGUUUGAUAUCUUUCUUUACAUCUUUUUUUUUCCUCUUUUGUUCCCCUCCCCAUAAUUCCUUUAAUACUUGCACAAAAAAAAAAAUCAU